rnacentral:rRNA from 1 species
ACGCUGGCGGCGUGGAUUAGGCAUGCAAGUCGAAUGCGAAAGUUCCCUUCGGGGAGCGGGUAGAGUGGCGAAAGGGUGAGUAAUGCUUGGAUGACCUGCCCUCGAGACGGGGACAACAGUUCGAAAGGACUGCUAAUACCCGAUAGUCCGGUUUAGAUGCGUCUAGAUCGGUAAAUGGUGCUUCCGCUCGAGGAGGGGUUCAAGUCCUAUCAGCUUGUUGGUGAGGUAACGGCUCACCAAGGCGAUGACGGGUAGCCGGACUGAGAGGUUGGCCGGCCACAUGGGAACUGAGACACUGUCCUGACUCCUACGGGAGGCUGCAGUCGAGAAUCUUCUGCAAUGGGCGAAAGCCUGACAGAGCGACGCCGCGUGGAGGAUGAAGGCCCUCGGGUCGUAAACUCCUGUCACAUGUUAUGAAACGCACAGGUCUACCUGUGCGCUGACAAAAGCAUGAGAGGAAGUCACGGCUAACUUCGUG